rnacentral:lncRNA from 1 species
UCGAUGGAAAGCAGGGGCAUGAGUUCACUCUGAAGGUGAAGAAUAUGGAGGCGGCAAAAGGCCUUGUGCAAGGACACAAGCCCUGUGGAGCGGCUUUGUCGGCCAGUGACAAAACCGACAAGGAUGGCAUCAACAAGUGCUCAGAGCACGGGGGGUAGUGUCCGUAUGCUGUGUGGCAGCUUCGAGGGGAGCUACGACUGGGGGGACGCCAAGUCAGAUGAGCUGUCGAAAGUUGUUGCAAUCCAUGGACUUGCUGUUGAAGACAAACAGGGAUCCGACUUCGUGCUGCGGGUGAAGGACAUGAGUUUGGCAAAGGACCUGGUCAAAGAAAAGAAGGGCACGGG